AUUGAACGCUGGCGGCAGGCUUAACACAUGCAAGUCGAGCGGAGUGAUGGUGCUUGCACUAUCACUUAGCGGCGGACGGGUGAGUAAUGCUUAGGAAUCUGCCAUUUAGUGGGGGACAACAUUCCGAAAGGAAUGCUAAUACCGCAUACGUCCUACGGGAGAAAGCAGGGGAUCUUAGGACCUUGCGCUAAAUGAUGAACCUAAGUCGGAUUAGCUAGUUGGUGGGGUAAAGGCCUACCAAGGCGACGAUCUGUAGCGGGUCUGAGAGGAUGAUCCGCCACGCUGGGACUGAGACACGGCCCAGACUCCUACGGGAGGCAGCAGUGGGGAAUAUUGGACAAUGGGCGGAAGCCUGAUCCAGCCAUGCCGCGUGUGUGAAGAAGGCCUUUUGGUUGUAAAGCACUUUAAGCGAGGAGGAGGCUACUAGUACUAAUACUACUGGAUAGUGGACGUUACUCGCAGAAUAAGCACCGGCUAACUCUGUGCCAGCAGCCGCAGUAAAAC
rnacentral:rRNA from 1 species